GACGAACGCUGGCGGCGUGCUUAACACAUGCAAGUCGAACGGAAAGGCCCUGCUUUUGUGGGGUGCUCGAGUGGCGAACGGGUGAGUAACACGUGAGUAACCUGCCCUUGACUUUGGGAUAACUUCAGGAAACUGGGGCUAAUACCGGAUAGGAGCUCCCGCUGCAUGGUGGGGGUUGGAAAGUUUCGGCGGUUGGGGAUGGACUCGCGGCUUAUCAGCUUGUUGGUGGGGUAGUGGCUUACCAAGGCUUUGAAGGGUAGCCGGCCUGAGCGGGUGACCUGCCACAUUGGGACUGAGAUGCGGCCCAGACUCCUACGGGAGGCAGCAGUGGGGAAUAUUGCACAGUAGGCGGAAGCCUGAUGCAGCAACGCCGCGUGCGGGAUGACGGCCUUCGGGUUGUAAACCGCUUUCGCCUGUGACGAAGCGUGAGUGACGGUAAUGGGUAAAGAAGCACCGGCUAACUACGUG
rnacentral:rRNA from 1 species